AUACGUAGGGGGCAAGCGUUAUCCGGAUUUACUGGGUGUAAAGGGAGCGUAGACGGCGAAGCAAGUCUGAAGUGAAAGGACGGGGCCCAACCCCGGAACUGCUUUGGAAACUGUUUGGCUGGAGUGCGGGAGGGGUAAGCGGAAUUCCUAGUGUAGCGGUGAAAUGCGUAGAUAUUAGGAGGAACACCGAUGGCGAAGGCGGCUUACUGGACCGUAACUGACGUUGAGGCUCGAAGGCGUGGGGAGCAAACAGGAUUAGAUACCCUGGUAGUCCACGCGGUAAACGAUGAUCACUAGGUGUCCGUGGGUAUGACCCAUGGGUGCCGCAGCCAACGCAAUAAGUGAUCCACCUGGGGAGUACGUUCGCAAGAAUGAAACUCAAAGGAAUUGACGGGG
rnacentral:rRNA from 1 species